rnacentral:rRNA from 1 species
AGGCUUAACACAUGCAAGUCGAACGCUGUAGCAAUACAGAGUGGCAGACGGGUGCGUAACACGUGGGAACAUACCUUUUGGUUCGGAAUAACUUGGGGAAACUUAAGCUAAUACCGGAUAAGCCCUUCGGGGGAAAGAUUUAUUGCCGAAAGAUUGGCCCGCGUCUGAUUAGCUAGUUGGUGAGGUAAUGGCUCACCAAGGCGACGAUCAGUAGCUGGUCUGAGAGGAUGAUCAGCCACACUGGGACUGAGACACGGCCCAG